UUCUUCAUUGUCCUCCAAUCAGCCACAUUCAUCCUGUAUUUCCCUGUUGCCUAUUCUUGUUCUCCCCUCCUCCUCCGCUCCACCCCUCUCCAGAGGUCUGCCACAAUAAUAAUAGCUGAUGGUGGGCUUAGUAAAAUCUUGAAUGGAAUGCAAGGCAGUAGGGUGGGACUCGUUUCAUUUUGGGAUUGGUUUUUCCUUUUAGCAUUUGCCUAUUGUUACGGAGGAAGAAGUGUGGGUAGGUGUGUGGAUGUGUGUCAAUGCUACACCAGCCCCCAUAGCAAUGGAAGAGGAGGAGACAACUGUAGGCGUGAGUAAUAUCUUUUCCCUCUCCUUCCACUUUGCUCUGGCCCCCCUUCCCCAUGCUUCUUUUCAUUCCUCGCCACAGCCAUCAGGACCCGUCCUCCCUCUCUUACCAUCAUUGUGCUUGGUUAUGCAAUGCACAGUCCUCCCACGGUGACUAACUGGUGUUGGAGAUCUACCGUAACACUGCUGUCACUGGUGGCUGCUGCAGAUCUAUUUCGCCACCGAGACGAGCACUCAGGCUGCAUUUGUUUCCUUGCGGACGGCUUGGGAUUUUACUUUCUACAGUUUCUGUUGGCAUUUUUACUUGCUGGACUCUCAAUCUGUGGACCUGCCUGUUCUCACUCAGCUCACUGGAGGCUGGGUGUCACGACACACGUUCAGCUCAGCCGACAGACAGGAUCACGCACAGCGCUGGCAUGAGGGCUUCAAUAAUGGGCAUUUUUAUCAUGCACACAUUCCAAUGACAUCCAAAGAAGACAAAGACAGCAGGAUUGUGCAGAGGAUAUAUACAUUCAUGCAUGCACUGUGGAAGAAGGUUGUGUGCUUUAGUGGCAGAGUUUAGGCAAAGCAGGUAGCAGGAAACUAAAGAGACGGAGAACACGAAAAGAAGAUGAGAGGAAUGCCAGAGUGGUUGGGAUGGAGAUGAGACUCGUGCUGCCACUGUCUUAGCAGCAGUGAUAGAAACCUGCUGAGUGAAAACAGUAUAGAGACUUGUCACGUUAAGGGGAUGGAUUGAUUUAGCAGCUGGUGCUGAGGAAUAUGAGGAAAAAGAAGUGAGGGAUUUUAUCUGGGCACUGUUGUAGAUGUGCUACUGCCGUCUCUCACUUGGCCAAGACUGUGACCACAUAUCCAGUAUCUCUCCCUUUGUUGCUAGAUUGUUGCCUGGACUUAUCUGUACACAAACAUUUCUACUCUGAGCACUCUAAAACAUGCUGGAUGACGCCUUAAGGUGUCUCCUUGCCAGUCUGGGUGAGCAUCAGGACCAUGGGCACCACUGUCAUCACCCCUGAAGAUGUACGGGCACUGGAGGUCAAGGAGGAACAGGAGGAGUCCAUCUUGGCCCUGCUAGGCAUCAUUGGCACUUUCCUCAACCUCUUUGUAAUAGUUUUUGUUUACAUUUAUACCACGCUGUGAGGAGGGAAGCCUAUGACUGGAUAAUACUGAUCAAGGACCAAAACUAGUCAGCAACAGUCUGACAUGAACAUCUAUCCUAGAUACAGAUGGAGAAACCUACAGAAAGUGGGUGAAGAUGAGAAAGAGGAAGCAAUACUGCCCAAUUCUGUUUGUGCUGGAGAGAUAACAAAGGCCUGGAAGACUAGAAAAGAACAGAACAUUGCUGGAACGGGUAUGAGACAAGCCGGGUGGGAAAAAAAGCAAUCCCCCGGUCAGGACCUAAAAAA